AGCUCCAAGAAUACGCGGACGAGGUGGCCGGGGUCAGCGUCGGCGCCGCCCGGCGCGGGCCACGGGCCCGCUUCCAAGUGCGUCUGCGCGCCGACCACCCACGCCGGGUCCUUCAAGUGCCGCUUCCACCGCACCAACUCCCAGGGCCACGGCCACGGCCAGGGCCAGGGAAGCUGCCCUUCUUCGCCCCCUUCACCGGCCGCGGCCAACGCGGUCCCGCGGCACGUGGCCUCGCCGUCCUCGUCCUCGUCCACGUGA
rnacentral:rRNA from 1 species